rnacentral:rRNA from 1 species
AUUAGGCAUGCAAGUCGAGCGAGAAUUUGUGAUUGGAAGCUUCGGCCGAAGAGAUCAAAGGAAAGCGGCAAACGGCGUAGUAAUGAGUAGGUACGUACCCUCAGAUCGGGAAUAGCCAUGGGAAACCGUGGGUAAUGCCCGAUAAUGUCUUCGGACCAAAGGUGUGAUUCCGUCUGAGGAGCGGCUUACUUGAUAUUAGCUUGUUGGUGGGGUAAUGGCCUACCAAGGCUACGAUGUCUAGGGGGUGUGAGAGCAUGGCCCCCACGACCGGAACUGAGACACUGUCCGGACACCUACGGGUGGCUGCAGUCGAGAAUCUUCCGCAAUGGGCGAAAGCCUGACGGAGCGACGCCGCGUGCGGGAUGAAGGCCCUUGGGUUGUAAACCGCUGUCAGAGGGGAUGAAAUCAUGGUUGGCAAUCCUUCCAUGUUGACAGAGCCUCAGAGGAAGCACGGGCUAAGUACGUGCCAGCAGCCGCGGUAACACGUACUGUGCAAACGUUAUUCGGAAUCACUGGGCUUAAAGGGUAUGUAGGCGGUUUGGAAAGUCAGAUGUGAAAUGCCACAGCUCAACUGUGGCACUGCGUUUGAAACUUCCAGGCUAGAGUAUUCCAGAGGUAUGCGGAACUUAUGGUGGAGCGGUGAAAUGCGUUGAUAUCAUGGGGAACACCAGAGGCGAAGGCGGCAUACUGGGGGAUAACUGACGCUGAGAUACGAAAGCCAGGGUAGCGAACGGGAUUAGAUACCCCGGUAGUCCUGGCUGUAAACGAUGAGCACUGGGCAAGAGGCGAUUCGUCGCUUUUCGCCGUAGGGAACC